rnacentral:rRNA from 1 species
AUUGAACGCUGGCGGCAUGGCUAAAACAUGCAAGUCGAACGUGUGUAGCAAUACACAAGUGGCGAAAGGGUUAGUAAUGCGAUCGAAUGUACCCUGAGGUGGGGAUAGCUACGGGAAACUGUAGGUAAUACCCCAUGAUCUCUCCGGAGCAAAGGUUUACCGCCUUGGGAGCAGCGAUCGUCCUAUCAGGUAGUUGGCGGGGUAACGGCCCACCAAGCCGAAGACGGGUAGCGGGUGUGAGAGCACGGCCCGCAACAUCGGAACUGAGACACUGUCCGGACUUCUACGGAAGGCUGCAGUAACGAAUCUUCCGCAAUGGGCGAAAGCCUGACGGAGCAAUGCCGCGUGUGGGAUGAAGCGUCUCUGACGUGUAAACCACUGUCAGGGGUUAGAAACAAUGAUUGACCCCAAAGGAAGUGGCGACUAACUCUGUGCCAGCAGCCGCGGUAAU